rnacentral:rRNA from 1 species
GUAAGGAAUAUUGCGCAAUGGGCGAAAGCCUGACGCAGCAACGCCGCGUGAGCGAUGAAGGCCUUCGGGUCGUAAAGCUCUUUUCCGAGGGACGAGGAAGGACGGUACCUCGGGAAUAAGUCACGGCUAACUACGUGCCAGCAGCCGCGGUAAAACGUAGGUGGCAAGCGUUAUCCGGAUUCACUGGGCGUAAAGGGCACGCAGGCGGCUUGGCAAGUAGGGCAUGAAAUCUCCUGGCUUAACUGGGAGAGGUUGUCCUAUACUGCCGGGCUUGAAGAUGGGAGAGGGGAGUGGAAUUGCCGGUGUAGUGGUGAAAUGCGUAGAGAUCGGCAGGAACACCAGUGGCGAAGGCGGCUUCCUGGCCCAUUCUUGACGCUCAUGUGCGAAAGCUAGGGGAGCGAACGGGAUUAGAAACCCUUGUAGUCC